rnacentral:rRNA from 1 species
UACAGAGGGGGCGAGCGUUGUUCGGAAUUACUGGGCGUAAAGGGCGCGUAGGCGGCCUGUUAAGUCGAACGUGAAAUCCCCGGGCUCAACCCGGGAACUGCGUCCAAGACUGGCAAGCUCGAAUCCGGAAGAGGGAUGUGAAAUUCCAGGUGUAGCGGUGAAAUGCGUAGAUAUCUGGAGGAACACCAAUAGCGAAGGCAACAUCCUAAACCAGCAUUGACGCUAAAGCGCGAAAGCCAGAGGAGCAAACGGG